rnacentral:lncRNA from 13 species
CUCACACACUCGUGGCCUGGCAAGGACCAGGUGGGGUGGGAGCUGGACCCUCAGUGCUUUGGAUGUGGAGGAGGUUGGCUGGGGGGUCCCGCAGUGCCUGCUCCUCUCUGGCUUCCUGAGAGUGGUGUCCCAACCUUCUCUGACAGGCCUCACUGCAUGAGUCUUACGGCUGGGGCCGAGGUUCUUCAUUUCCUGGGGACUCCCUGGGUGGGGAGGACAGGGUGAGGCUGGAGGCUUCUGGGCUGCAGGGAGAGAUGCUGAAGGGGGAGUGGGGCCCAGGAGGACAGCCAGACCACCCCAACCUCCCCGACACCUCCGUGUGAAUUGGGAAAGGGGGCCCUAAGAUUCCUUCAGCCAGGCAGGCACUUUUGUGCAGUGCACAACCUGCACAACCCAGGGUGGCGGCCUUGUUGUCAGCCCUCGGGGAGGCGGAUCGAGGCCAGGAGAGCCCCUGCUGCCUCCCCUUUUGCUGCUGGGUUCAUAGUGACCCUGCUCUGCCCAGGCCGGACCCAGGAUGUGAGUCUCCAGGCUCUGAAGGCCUUCCAGGACUUCUACCUGAUGCUGGGGCUUCCGGAUGACAUGGUGCUCAUGCUGCCCAAGUCAGACACGUGCAUCCCUGAGAGCAAGGAGAAGCCCUGAUGCCUCUGGACCCCACCCAGCCCUUCCCAGCUCCUCACCAUGAGCUUCGCCUCCACUCCCAGGGUCCUCAUCCAGGCGACUCACCAUCCUGUUCAGCUUUGCACAGGUCUGUAUCUCCCUGCACACACCAGUGGGUUGGGAAACAUGGGGCUCAACAGCAAAUCACCCUCCUCCAGAAGGUUCUCUGGGGAGAACGUGUAGCCGCAUCCUCCCACGAUCUUGAAGCAGCAGCUUUCUGGGUACAGUGCCCAGCCUGGGCCACCUUGGGUGACCCCGGAGGCUGUGGUGGCUUCAUGGCCAUUCCAGGGCUUUCUUGCCAAGCCAGCCCCUUCGUCAAGGCCCUGGCAGAGGCUGUGGCUCACUGCCACUCAGGCAUGAGGCUGGGUCCCCCACCCCCAGGGAAGGUGGGAAAGCGUUGGAGCCAAGGACAGCCUCUCCCCUGGGGCCUCUGGGGAAGCAAUGGUGGCUGGUGUGUGUGUACAGGGUUUAUGGGAGUUUUGGAGCAGAAUGAGCUCUCCUGAGCCUGUAGGGCGGUGGCUUUGGAGGGCUGAUGCGCAGCUUGUGGGGAGCAGAAAGGGCGUUUGUCGUGGGAGUGUGCGAUGGAGUAGCUGUGCAUUUGCUGUGCAGGAGGAGCCAGAGCCGCGGGCGCCAUCGCCCCUGGAGUGAGACCCACAGCCCUCGGGGACCGCUGUCCUCCGCCCCCCAUGGGAUGCCUCUUUCUAUUCAAUAAACAGAUGCUGCAGCCUCA